rnacentral:rRNA from 1 species
GACGAACCGUGCGAACGUUAUUCGGAAUCACAGGGCUUAAAGCGCGUGUAGGCGGGCCGGCACGUCGGUCGCUGAAAUCCCCCGGCUCAACCGGGGAAGGGGCGCCGAUACGACCGGCCUGGAGGGGCGUAGGGGGACCGGGAACUUCCGGUGGAGCGGUGAAAUGCGUUGAGAUCGGAAGGAACGCCCGUGGCGAAAGCGCGGUCCUGGACGCCUGCUGACGCUGAGACGCGAAAGCCAGGGGAGCGAACGGG